rnacentral:rRNA from 1 species
UACGUAGGGGGCAAGCGUUGUCCGGAAUUAUUGGGCGUAAAGAGCGCGUAGGCGGUCCGGUAAGUCCGCUGUAAAAGUCAAAGGCUCAACCUUUGAAUGUCAGUGGAUACUGCCGGGCUAGAGUUCGGAAGAGGCGAGUGGAACUCCUGGUGUAGCGGUGGAAUGCGCAGAUAUCAGGAAGAACACCAACGGCGAAGGCAGCUCGCUAGGACGGUACUGACGCUGAGACGCGAAAGCGUGGGGAGCGAACAGG